UACUCAAACAGCACCUUUAUAAAAAACGAAA
rnacentral:piRNA from 1 species